rnacentral:rRNA from 1 species
CAGUCGCACCUGCGGACAAUCAGCUUUUGAGUGUGAUUAUGUGGAUUGUGAGGAGUUUAAUCACCCUCAUGUUUUACGUAUUCGUGCACUUUAGGUGUACUUGCCCGUAUGGUUGGUUAACAUCUAAUUUUGGUGGUCAUAAAAUGACUGGA